rnacentral:rRNA from 1 species
CAAUAGCGUAUAUUAAAGUUGUUGCAGUUAAAAAGCUCGUAGUUGGAUUUGUGGCGUACGGUGGGUUCCGGGCACUUGUUGUCUGAGUAACUUGCUGUUGCCAUCCUUGGGUGGAACCUGUGUGGCAUUAGGUUGUCGUGCAGGGGAUGCCCAUCAUUUACUGUGAAAAAAUUAGAGUGUUCAAAGCAGGCUUAUGCCGUUGAAUAUAUUAGCAUGGAAUAAUGAGAUAGGACUUUUUUGCUAUUUUGUUGGUUUGCGCAAAGAGGUAAUGAUUAAUAGGGACAGUUGGGGGUAUUCGUAUUCCACUGUCAGAGGUGAAAUUCUUGGAUUUUUGGAAGACGAACUACUGCGAAAGCAUUUACCAAGGAUGUUUUCAUUAA